rnacentral:pre_miRNA from 1 species
UAGUCUACUUGGGUCAAAUCCCUGUAUAAUAGUACCAGAUCAUCACUUGAAUGUUUAGAACCUUUAUUUUCUACAAGUCCGAUUGUAUUAGUUUGUGCAAAGAACACAUGUUAAAAGAGUAUUUAGAAGUAUUUGAUUAUUGUUUCGAGAGAUA